UAAUGAUUUUAAGUAGUCAAAUAUUUUAUUUAGUUAUACUUUAAAAAUUAUUUAUAGCUUAAAAUAUUUUUGGGUUUAGUAAAAAGGAUUUUAAAUCAACUAUGCAAAACGCCAACCAUUAAAUAUUAUUAAAGCCCAAACACUUUUUCCUAAGCACAAUAAGGGUUAACUAUAUAAACCUCAAAACCCCAAAAUUUUUCCCACACUUGUUUUCUCUCUCUUCCUUCUCCUCUUUUUUUUUCCGGCCUCCUCCUUCUUUCUCUCUCUCGUUUUUCUUUUGGCUCCUCCUCCCUCGUCGACGACAUCAGCCACUGGCCACCACCACCGACAACAGCAACGACCAACGCUGCCGCCCUUCCUCCUCCUUUGUGUCGUGUUUUUCCCUUCUUCCUCUCUUUUGGUUAUUUCUUUCUCCUCUAUUUUUAUUACUUUAUAGUUUAUGUUUUUAAGUAUUGAUUUAAUGUUUUAAUGAUUAAAAUUUUAUUGUUUGAUAAUAAAAAUAUAAUUCCAAAUUAUGUAAUUUAUAUAGUGAAAUAACUAAAUUUGAGAUUCAUUUAUUAUGUUUAAAUCAAGGUUUUAAGUAUCAAAACAUGAAUUUUUAGGGUUUUAUGAGUUGAAAAAUUAUUGUAGUAUAUUAUAGUUUGUGAAAUUGAGUACUCAUAUGAUUUUGAUAAUAUUUAAGUAUGUUUUAAAAGAGUUUUAAUACAUUAUUAGUUGUUAUGUAAGCUUAAAAUGGAGUUUUAAUUGUCAAAGUAUGAGUUUUUAAGGGUUUUUAAUUACUAGUAUAGUAGUACUAUGCUAGGGAGUAUUAAUAAUUGAAGUUUAAUGAUGGAAAAGGGUUUUUAAAAACUUUUAAAGAGGAAUUAAAGUAUUUUAAUACCGUUGGAAAUUUAUGUAGUAUUGAUUUGUGGCUAUGUUGAUUAUUAGUAGGCGGAGAAUUCUCUUAAGGCGACUUUUAAGCUUGUUAAAGUGGACUUGAAUUUUGUCAACACAAGGUAAGGGGAGUACGAAGUCGUACCCGUAAUUCGUCUUCUAGAUUGAAGACCGGUUUGGUUUGGACAACUCUUUCCAUUGCAUAUUCCAUCUAAAUUAAGUAACUUAUUGGUUGCGGAGUCAAGUUCAGUAAAACUAGUCUGCUAGGUUAUUAUGUAUAUUAUUAUUUAUCUCUAGUUAAUGUGAUUAAUAUCAUGUUAGGUUUUAUAUUCUCUGUAAUACUCAACAUAGUUUGAUCACUUUCCUUUUAUGUUUUUACCAAAUUAGUUUCAACACUUCCAUUUU